rnacentral:rRNA from 1 species
GACAGAGGGUGCAAACGUUGUUCGGAAUUACUGGGCGUAAAGCGAGUGUAGGCGGUCUCCUAAGUCGGGUGUGAAAGCCCCGGGCUCAACCCGGGAAGUGCACUCGAAACUGGGAGGCUAGAGUAUCGGAGAGGUUGGUGGAAUUCUCGGUGUAGAGGUGAAAUUCGUAGAUAUCGAGAGGAACACCGGUGGCGAAGGCGGAUCUCUGGGCCUUACCUGACGCUCAGGUGCGAAAGCUAGGGGAGCGAACAGG